AUUGAACGCUGGCGGCAUGCUUUACACAUGCAAGUCGGACGGCAGCACAGAGAAGCUUGCUUCUUGGGUGGCGAGUGGCGCACGGGUGAGUCAUAUAUCGGAACGUACCGAGUAAUGGGGGAUAACUAAUCGAAAGAUUAGCUAAUACCGCAUAUUCUCUGAGGAGGAAAGCAGGGGACCUUCGGGCCUUGCGUUAUUCGAGCGGCCGAUAUCUGAUUAGCUAGUUGGUGGGGUAACGGCCUACCAAGGCGACGAUCAGUAGCGGGUCUGAGAGGAUGAUCCGCCACACUGGGACUGAGACACGGCCCAGACUCCUACGGGAGGCAGCAGUGGGGAAUUUUGGACAAUGGGCGCAAGCCUGAUCCAGCCAUGCCGCGUGUCUGAAGAAGGCCUUCGGGUUGUAAAGGACUUUUGUCAGGGAAGAAAAGGCUGUUGCUAAUAUCGACAGCUGAUGACGGUACCUGAAGAAUAAGCACCGGCUAACUACGUG
rnacentral:rRNA from 1 species